GCAGGCUUAUUGGGCAGAUUCUAUGCGGAGAGCAGCCGUGGUCUUGACGCUGUGUGUGGUGGUUAUACUGACUGUAGUCCCUGGCAGUUGCAGCAGGCAUCAAGCAGAGAGAAAUGUGAUGAGGCAGCUCUGGAGAGGGGGAGCCACAGGUGCACCCCUGCAUUGGGAAGAUACCAUCAACUGCAGCAAAGAGAAUAGAUGCACCACACACUCCUGGAUUUGCUGGGGAAUUUAAGAAAAAUGCAGUCAGAAAUCAAAGGUGGAGUUCUAGGGGUCCUCCUGGAAAGAAGCUAGGGAGAGAACUUCUUCUGAUUGGCAUUUUUUUCCUCUGUAGCUCUACUUUUGUCCUGCUAAAAGCAGGAAUCAGAUCAGAUGUUAAGCUGAUGACAUUUGACAGUCACAACGCAAUACUUACUACCACAUAACAUUCCCCUACUACACCAUUUAAAUUUCUCACUCUCACCCAGAAUAUUCACAGAUGAGUCAUGAGAAGUGAUAAAUAAAAAAUACUAUUUUUUAAGUCAAACGUAAGUAUCAAACUGUAAAGACCCACCAUGUAUAAAAUUUAGUUUUGCAAUUAA
rnacentral:lncRNA from 1 species